rnacentral:rRNA from 1 species
UGCAAGUCGAGCGGCAGCGCGGUGGUAGCAAUACCAUUGGCGGCGAGCGGCGGACGGGUGAGGAACACAUCGGAAUCUACCCUGUCGUGGGGGAUAACGUAGGGAAACUUACGCUAAUACCGCAUACGACCUUUGGGUGAAAGCGGGGGCCCAGCAAUGGCCUCGCGCGAUUGGAUGAGCCGAUGUCCGAUUAGCUAGUUGGCGGGGUAAUGGCCCACCAAGGCGACGAUCGGUAGCUGGUCUGAGAGGACGACCAGCCACACUGGAACUGAGACACGGUCCAGACUCCUACGGGAGGCAGCAGUGGGGAAUAUUGGACAAUGGGGGCAACCCUGAUCCAGCCAUGCCGCGUGGGUGAAGAAGGCCUUCGGGUUGUAAAGCCCUUUUGUACGGGAAGAAAAGCGGCGGGUGAAUAUCCCGUCGUCAUGACGGUACCGUAAGAAUAAGCACCGGCUAACUUCGUGCCAGCAGCCGCGGUAAUACGAAGGGUGCAAGCGUUACUCGGAAUUACUGGGCGUAAAGCGUGCGUAGGCGGUGACUUAAGUCUGAUGUGAAAUCCCCGGGCUCAACCUGGGAAUGGCAUUGGAAACUGGGUCGCUAGAGUACGGUAGAGGGUGGUGGAAUUCCCGGUGUAGCAGUGAAAUGCGUAGAGAUCGGGAGGAACAUCUGUGGCGAAGGCGGCCACCUGGACCAGUACUGACGCUGAGGCACGAAAGCGUGGGGAGCAAACAGGAUUAGAUACCCUGGUAGUCCACGCCCUAAACGAUGCGAACUGGAUGUUGGGGGCA